rnacentral:rRNA from 1 species
UACGAAGGGGGCGAGCGUUGUUCGGAAUCACUGGGCGUAAAGCGCACGUAGGCGGACGUGUCAGUCAGGGGUGAAAUCCCGGAGCUCAACUUCGGAACUGCCUUUGAUACAGCACGUCUUGAGUCCGGAAGAGGUGGGUGGAAUUCCUAGUGUAGAGGUGAAAUUCGUAGAUAUUAGGAAGAACACCGGUGGCGAAGGCGGCCCACUGGUCCGGUACUGACGCUGAGGUGCGAAAGCGUGGGGAGCAAACAGG